UAUUAAUUUAAUUAUAGUUAUAAAAUUGGCCUUCUCUUUUAAUUAUAUGUAAAACUUUAAUAUUUUUUGUUCAGUAAAAAGUUUUAAUAAUUAUUUUUUAGAAUUACCUAGAAAUUGAGAUUAAGUUAAAUAGAUUAAUAUUUGUGCCAGCAUUCGCGGUUAAACAAUAUAUUUUUGUCAAUUAUUUAAGGUUUUAAUUUUCUUUAUAAAUUAGUGGUAAUUAGAAUUCAAUUAUUUAGGUGGAAUUUAUAGUAAAAAAAAGUUACUAGUUUAAAGUAUUUUAAUAAACUUACUAAAGAAACUAGGAUUAGAUACCCUAUUAUUUUAAGCUUGAUUUUUCUUUGAAUAUUAUUAGUUAUGUUCUUUAAAGCUCAAAAAAUUUGGCGGUGAGAUUUCUAGUUAGAGGAACUUGUAAGUUAAAUCGAUAAACCACGAUAUUAUCUACUUAAUGGCAUAUUUGUAUACCGCUAUGUUUUAGGAAUGUUCUUAAAGGAAAUUUUCUUUUUUGUUUAUUUUACUAAAUAAUAUUAGGUCUAGGUGCAGUUUUCAUUAAGUUGUUAUGAGUUACUAAAGUUAUAAUUUUAUAUUUUGGAUGUUAAUGAUUUAUGCUUUAAUUGAAAUAGGAUUUAAUAGUAAAAUUAAUUAAUUAAUUUUUUUGAAUUUUGAUCUUUCUCAUGUACAUAUCGCCCGUCACUCCUAAUUUAAGUUAGGAUAAGUCGUAACAAAGUAAUUUUACCGGAAGGUAAGGUUAGAAAGUG
rnacentral:ncRNA from 1 species